CUUCACAACCCUUUGUCAGGGCCAGUUAUUUAUAGCUACACUGAUGCAAACUGGCUAAGUUCUUAUGGUCCCAGAGAACACACAGACUACUAAGGUGGCCCGCUUCUCCCGUACUCUCUUUGGAUCCAACAGAUGUUCUAAAGGGGUCUCCUGACAAACCUCCUGCCGCCAUUGGCACCAUUCAAACUGCCACUGAACAAGAAGACUUGGCUCACCACUUUUCCACUCAACUCGUGAGCAGCACAGCAUUCGUGUGCCUCGGUGGUCGAAGAUCGUCAGUGCAUUCGUAUACCUGCUCAUCAAAGAUCAUCAGAACAGACAGUUAUCCAGAACUGUGGCGAGGAAGAAUGGUGAAACACUAUGACGUUCCUUGUAGCUCCCCAAGAUCACCAGAAAACAUAAGCUGAAAAUAUUAAAUCUCACACGAAAUUAUUAAAACUGUUUCAUGC
rnacentral:lncRNA from 1 species